UACGUAGGGCGCAAGCGUUGUCCGGAAUUAUUGGGCGUAAAGAGCUCGUAGGCGGUCUGUUACGUCCGCUGUGAAAUCCCAGGGCUUAACCCUGGGCUUGCAGUGGAUACGGGCAGACUAGAGGCAGGUAGGGGAGAAUGGAAUUCCCGGUGUAGCGGUGAAAUGCGCAGAUAUCGGGAGGAACACCGGUGGCGAAGGCGGUUCUCUGGGCCUGACCUGACGCUGAGGAGCGAAAGCGUGGGGAGCGAACAGG
rnacentral:rRNA from 1 species